GAGAGGGUCAGCCAUAGCCGGAGCUGCCGCGGCGGCUUUCUCUGGAGUCUGCUUCUCGAUCUUCUUCUCUUCUUCUUUCUUGGAAGAAGAGCCAACAGGUGCCGCACUAGCAGCGGCAGCUGCUGUAGAACUAGGGGUUUUGUCGGCCGAAGCCACCGGCUGCGGCACGGAGACAGAGGCCGGCGUGGGCACGAACUGGGUGGUCUGGGGCGCGGCGUUGUUCCUGAGCGUGGCC
rnacentral:lncRNA from 1 species